AGUGCCCCGCAUAGGCACGGCAUUACAACGGCCGGCCAGGAGGAGCCAUUGGUCGGUAAUCCUGCGACAGUGAAGACAAACCAAACGUCCAUUUUUCAAAAAUUUCAUCCUCAAAAAUUUUGGAAUGCUUUUGGAAACUACACGAACAUAAAGAAUAGAAGAGUGAGAAAGAAUCCCUGCCUGGUGUAUUACUAACAAAACAAAUUAAAGGUCUUACCGGGGAUAUUUUUUUUAUAAGAGGGAGGACGAGGAAUUAAAAAUUGCUGCAGAUUUCUUCGCUGUCAGCCAAGAUUAACGAUCAUAAUUGUUAUAUGACUGAACAGAGAUAAAGAUAAAAUUGGCGAUCCUUCUUUGGAGAUCUUGAACAGUCCAUUUUCAACACCAUUACAUGAAGUUCUCUCUCUUUUCCUGGUGUCUUCUCCCUCUUCCACCUCAUCAUAUUCUUUGGACUUUUACAUCUCGGUUCCUACAUCUGCUUCAGUGAGAAGUACCAACACUAAUCCAAUGCGCCCAAGUCAGCCAUCCAUACCUACCUCAUCAGCUUCUAUCACUAUAAUUUCAAGGGAGACACUUAUGAUGAGUUGGAAUGAAAGUGCUCAGUCAAAUGACAAGCACAAAGUUUAUAAGAGGAUGAAAGAAAAGCAAGAUUAACUCCAUCACAGGAAAAUUAAAUUCAUAACUGAUAAAACCUACCAAGAACUACAGUUGCAGUCUCAGAUGCUCUCAAGACUCAGGCAACUCAGAGAGGUUCAUACAAGGAGACAUUGCUGGUUCAGGAUACAGGAGUGGCAGGACAGUUGUAAUGAGCCCAAGAGAUGUGAAGUUAGAAUGACCCAAAAAUUUGUCUAUAACCCACCCUUUAUCAACAUAUUUAUCACUUCAUUCAAAUAUUAAUUAUACAUAUAUAUCAAAGAGCAGUAUGAGUGGAAAAGCUGUGAAUCAAGCGGUAUGAAGUAUAAGCUUCAGGAACCUCAUGCAGAAAAGCAGCAUGUUUCAUGGAAAGAACAAAGGCUAGAAAUGCAAGAGAAGCUUCAAUUCCAAACAAAUCCUUGUGGGUCUUUCUAUAAAUGCCGCAUCCAUCACCAAAAAUUCAGAUUGAUAACACAGACAAGAGAUAGGUCAUCUAUUGGGCUUAGAGCAACCAUUUCACCUGAUGUUGUCUCAUACCACAGUCUAUCAGUUGCUACAAAAAUCUGCAUAUAGCCACCCGUUCAGGUCACCUGAGGCAGCACUUCAUGCAGUAGCUACGUGAUACAGAUACAGAUCAUCCCAUUGUCCAUGGAAGCAGUUCACUGCAAGAGACAUGCAAGGAAACAACUGAAGAAGGACAAAUAUUUAAAAGAAAAUGUGAGGAUACUGUACAGUACAAGAUUUAUAAUAGAGAUUUAAAAAUUUGAA